rnacentral:lncRNA from 13 species
GGCAAUCCAGAUAAAGACAAUACUUUACACCUUUCUUACAGCUAGGUUUGGACCUGCAAUUAAUUGACUAGUUUCCUCUGUUUAGAAGAGAACAUUUUUUUCUAAACUUCCCUCUAUUUUCUGGAAGCUGAAAGAGGACAAUGCCAGGACCACAUCUGGCAUCAACCAUAUAGAAAAGGGCAAAGUGGAAGGGGAUUUGGAAGCUUCUUUAACAACUUUGCAGAGAUGGGGUUUUGCUGUGUUGGCCUCAAGUGAUCUAUGCGCUUCAGCCUCCCAAAGUGCUGAUAUUACAGGCAUGAGCCACUGCACCCAGCCAAAAGUCUACAUUUCCAACAAUAUUCCAGGUGAUGCCGUGUUAUCAAUCUACAAAUCUUAUUUUAAGUAGCAAAGGUGCAGUGAAUAUCCUUGUCUGAUUCUCAGUACUGGGGAUGGAGCAUUCAAUGUUGCUGCCAUACACAAGGUGUGUUCUAGAGGUUUUUUGCUUCUUUGAUUUUGUGGAUAUCAUGUAUCAGAUUAUGGCAUUUUUUUGUUUCUAGUUGAUUUGUUAAAAUUAUUGAAUAUUAUAGUUUAUCAAAUUAUUUUGCUACUUUCAAUAUAAUUCUCAUUUUUUGUAGUGUUCUGUUAAUGUGGUGAAUUACAAUGAUUUUCAAAAUUGAAUCAACCUUGCAUUCCUGAGAUCAGUUCAACUAGGGUAUGAUAUAAUAUUCUGGUUAUGUGUUGUUAGAUUCAAUUUGCUAAUAUGCGGUUUAAGACUUUUAUGUCUAUGUUCACCAGUAAAAUUGGAAGGUAAUUUUCAUUUCUUUUAAUAUGCCUUUCAAGUUGUGGUGUUAUGAUUAUAUUGACCUCAUAAUUUAAUUUGGGAAAUGGUCCCUUUAUUUUUAUGUUCUGAAAGGAUUUGUGUAAGAAUGGUUUAUUUCUUCCUUAACCGAAAGAAUUUACUGUUAUAGCAUGUAGGCUUAUAAUUUUAUUUUAUUUUUACAAGUUAUUAGUAGGGGAUUUAAUUAGAUAGAAUAUUUUUAGUUUGUGUCAUUACCUCUUGUGUCAAUUUUGGUAAACUUUGUUUUCCUAGGAAAUUUUUCUUUUAUUUAAAUUUCCAAAUUUAUUGUCACAAAGUUAUUCAUAAUAUUUUCUUAUGAUCCGAAAAAGUUGUCAUGACAUCUCUUUUUCAUUCCUGUGAUUUGGAAUCUGUACCUUUUCGUUUUCUUGAUAAGCCUUGCCAGAUAUUAAUAAAUUUCACCAUUUCUUAAAGUAAUUGAUUUGG